CUCUUAUUGUGAAGGUUCGGUUCGCUGAUAAAAACACAACAAAAAACGCAUCAGAACUCUUUUAACAAUUACAGAACAAGCAAUAAAAAGAUGGAAUACUUGAUAAUAAAUCUGAAAAUAAGAUCUGGACAGAGAAAUGUAUUCAAAAAACUUAAGACAACUCGAACCAGGCGGGUCCUCGGGUCCUCGGCAGCAGUUUACGUGUGUUUCCAGCCUGAGGCACAGGGCACACGCUGCGAGGGCCGGACGCCUCGCAGGCCACACAUGAUCUCUGUUUUGUCUCGAUAAACAAAAGUUGACAAGAAACACAGCCGAUAGAAAAGCUUUCCUUCUUCUGAUAACCUAAACACGCUCACAUGCAGGGACGCACACAUGAUUGCACACACACACACACACACAUUGACACUCAAAGCCACAUGUCUGAGUCAAUCAUAUUUGCCGGCGAAGCCCUGUGAUUGCAACGUAAACAAAGUGGAGCACAAAGAUGGAGGACUGAGGCCUGAAGUCACCUGAGUAUUCGCAGACAUGAAGGUGUGUGUGUGUGUGUGUGUGUGUGUGUGUGUGUGUGUGUGUCCGAGAGACCACAAAGGGAUUCCAUCGCCGUUCAUAUGAGCUCUUUUGUUGAACCAUCACAUCUUUAAAAAAAACCCACUGCCUUUCAGAAUAAGGGAUGAAUAAACGGACGAGGGGGGAAAAGGAAAAACAGUAGACUGAAACCACAGUGGAACUCGGUAAUGGUCAGCCAGGCCCACCACGCCUCGGCAAAUGUUUGUCCUAACCUGUUAUUUCUGGCAUUGUGCUGCCUCAAAGAGAUCAUUUUAUUCUCAUGGAGGAAUGCGGCGGCUAUAAAUAGUCUGCAGAUGAAGGAGGGGAAAUCAGAGAUUUGUAGAGUAAUUACAGAGCCGGAGUCGAACCCUUCUGUUAUGGCUCAUUUUUCAUCAACCUCUGUCUCCACAACUGUCUGACUGAAGUAAAAUGGCCGUUUUCUCGAUGGGAAUUGCACGUCUGACCUGAUAUUUGACCUCUUUUUUUCGGCUUUCAUCUGCUCGGUCUCAAGAUUUAGGAAAAGUUUUUGGGGGAAAUAACCUCUUUUUUUUGUGGACGAUGCAGUUUCAUCUCUGUGAUGUGGGUUCGAGAAGAAAAGUGCCUCACAAGAGAAACCACACAUGCGACGUGUCGCUUGUGAUGCAUUUGAUGACAAUGCCGAUGGGAGGCUUCAGAUGAGAGUCACAUUAUCCCGACGUUUCAGGUUGACCGUGAGAGACAGGAAAAAAAAACGUGGUAUCGAAACAUAAAGUGAAGGUCGGACCUUUGUGUGCAAAGGGAAGAAAAUUAGCAAGGAAAUUUUCCCGGGUCAUCCUCAUCUGCAAUCAAAUAAAUUGAUACAGAUGCACAGAAAUAAAAGGCCUUUAACACACUUACUCUCACCCUGAGAACCUUAGCACAAUAUUAAAAUAAAUCCUGCUGGAAACUGAUCAAUACGCAAAGCGGACCCAAUAAAUAAAUGUCUGCUCUUUGGUUUUCGGUGCGAUGUCGAGCAGCCAAUCAAGUUGCCCUGACAGCCCUUGUGUCUCAAAUGAUCUCUGUGGAGUAUGAAAGGACUUCAUAAUUGCUGUAAUUAUCAAGCAUGUCGGUCUUAUUUCGCAGUCAGAACUCGUUGGCAAAUUCAUACGACAAUUAAGAAGAACUGGAGACAAAUGACACGUAUUGGCGUCGCCCACACUACUCAGAUGAGGACAGUGUGGAGAAAGGAGGCUGUAGUGGUGGGAAAUGUGUAAAACAAACAUUCAUGAGCUUCCUUAAGCGGGAAAGGAGAUUUAAAGUGAUAUUUGCCAAUGUAUUCGAAAUAGAGAAAACUCUAAAUCCUGUUUCCCAUGUUCUCAGUUGGAGACACUUUAUAGCCUUUGUCUUGUCACUUUGUUGUGGUCGGAGGGAGGGGGAGGUGCAGUGCAUAGGGUGAAAAUGACAGUGUUUCACAGCACUUGUCAUUAAUCAGAGAGGAAUUAUAGCUCCACGAGACUUGUGUGGUACAUACAAGGGGUCGAGGGUUGUACAUCAAUACGAGCCGAUUGAUUAAUCACCAACCCACAGCAAGCUGCCAAUCAUGAGCUUCCCUAAAGUUGAGAAGGAGUGGCUCAUCUUAAGGGAAAUGUAUGAAAAACAAACGUUUUUCUUGUUUAAUGUGCCCUAAGGACUGAAGUUAGUUAGUUGGUCAAUUAUUCCCUUAAAAACCAACAAAACACUGCUUUUACUUGUAUACACACACCCUCAGAGGGUAAUGCGUCCAACCUCCCGCUUUUCGCAUCACUCUUUAUUCACAGAGAAAUGUCGCCCUCGUGUGGAAAGAAUAUCGUACUGCACCAAUCAGGAGCAUCAGCGUUUAAAGAGAGUUUGACAUUCAAAUUGUUUUAUUGCUUUAUUAUAUUUUAAAUCAAUUUGAAUUUCACUACACAUUUAGGCAAAUAUUUACUCCAUUCACCCAUUUUCCGAUUGAGGUCCUAAUUUGAUAAAACAUUAUUAUUUAGCAUGUAGAACUUUUGACC
ensembl:lncRNA